GAACGCUGGCGGCGUGCCUAAUACAUGCAAGUCGAGCGAUCGGACGAGAAGCUUGCUUCUCUGAUGUUAGCGGCGGACGGGUGAGUAACACGUGGAUAACCUACCUAUAAGACUGGGAUAACUUCGGGAAACCGGAGCUAAUACCGGAUAAUAUUUUGAACCGCAUGGUUCAAAAGUGAAAGACGGUCUUGCUGUCACUUAUAGAUGGAUCCGCGCUGCAUUAGCUAGUUGGUAAGGUAACGGCUUACCAAGGCAACGAUGCAUAGCCGACCUGAGAGGGUGAUCGGCCACACUGGAACUGAGACACGGUCCAGACUCCUACGGGAGGCAGCAGUAGGGAAUCUUCCGCAAUGGGCGAAAGCCUGACGGAGCAACGCCGCGUGAGUGAUGAAGGUCUUCGGAUCGUAAAACUCUGUUAUUAGGGAAGAACAUAUGUGUAAGUAACUGUGCACAUCUUGACGGUACCUAAUCAGAAAGCCACGGCUAACUACGUGCCAGCAGCCGCGGUAAUACGUAGGUGGCAAGCGUUAUCCGGAAUUAUUGGGCGUAAAGCGCGCGUAGGCGGUUUUUUAAGUCUGAUGUGAAAGCCCACGGCUCAACCGUGGAGGGUCAUUGGAAACUGGAAAACUUGAGUGCAGAAGAGGAAAGUGGAAUUCCAUGUGUAGCGGUGAAAUGCGCAGAGAUAUGGAGGAACACCAGUGGCGAAGGCGACUUUCUGGUCUGUAACUGACGCUGAUGUGCGAAAGCGUGGGGAUCAAACAGGAUUAGAUACCCUGGUAGUCCACGCCGUAAACGAUGAGUGCUAAGUGUUAGGGGGUUUCCGCCCCUUAGUGCUGCAGCUAACGCAUUAAGCACUCCGCCUGGGGAGUACGACCGCAAGGUUGAAACUCAAAGGAAUUGACGGGGACCCGCACAAGCGGUGGAGCAUGUGGUUUAAUUCGAAGCAACGCGAAGAACCUUACCAAAUCUUGACAUCCUUUGACAACUCUAGAGAUAGAGCUUUCCCCUUCGGGGGACAAAGUGACAGGUGGUGCAUGGUUGUCGUCAGCUCGUGUCGUGAGAUGUUGGGUUAAGUCCCGCAACGAGCGCAACCCUUAAGCUUAGUUGCCAUCAUUAAGUUGGGCACUCUAAGUUGACUGCCGGUGACAAACCGGAGGAAGGUGGGGAUGACGUCAAAUCAUCAUGCCCCUUAUGAUUUGGGCUACACACGUGCUACAAUGGACAAUGCAAAGGGCAGCGAAACCGCGAGGUCAAGCAAAUCCCAUAAAGUUGUUCUCAGUUCGGAUUGUAGUCUGCAACUCGACUACAUGAAGCUGGAAUCGCUAGUAAUCGUAGAUCAGCAUGCUACGGUGAAUACGUUCCCGGGUCUUGUACACACCGCCCGUCACACCACGAGAGUUUGUAACACCCGAAGCCGGUGGAGUAACCUUUUAGGAGCUAGCCGUCGAAGGUGGG
rnacentral:rRNA from 1 species